GAUGAACGCUAGCGGCAGGCUUAAUACAUGCAAGUCGAGGGGCAGCAUGAUUGUAGCAAUACAAUUGAUGGCGACCGGCAAACGGGUGCGGAACACGUACACAACCUCCCAAUAAGUGGGGAAUAGCCCAGAGAAAUUUGGAUUAAUACCCCGUAACAUAACGAUGUGGCAUCACAUUGUUAUUAUAGAUUCUUCGCUUAUUGAUGGGUGUGCGGCUGAUUAGAUAGUUGGCGGGGUAACGGCCCACCAAGUCUACGAUCAGUAGCUGAUGUGAGAGCAUGAUCAGCCACACGGGCACUGAGACACGGGCCAGACUCCUACGGGAGGCAGCAGUGGGGAAUAUUGGACAAUGGGCGAAAGCCUGAUCCAGCCAUGCCGCGUGUGUGAAGAAGGUCUUCGGAUUGUAAAGCACUUUAAGUUGGGAGGAAGGGUUGUAAGCUAAUAUCUUGCAGCUUUGACGUUACCAACAGAAUAAGCACCGGCUAACUCUGUGCCAGCCGCCGCAGUAACAC
rnacentral:rRNA from 1 species